CUGCCGAGGGGCGCUGCGACCGGACAACCCGGCCAGGCUCGGAGGGUGGCAAUGUGAAACGGCGCCCGG
rnacentral:ncRNA from 1 species